rnacentral:rRNA from 1 species
GAUGAACGCUGGCGGCGUGCCUAACACAUGCAAGUCGAGCGAACCCUUCGGGGUGAGCGGCGGACGGGUGAGUAACGCGUGGGUAACCUGCCCUAUACACACGGAUAACGUACCGAAAGGUACGCUAACACGGGAUAAAGUUGUUGGAUGGCAUCUUCUAACAAUCAAAGCUCUGGCGGGAUAGGUAAUGGACCCGCGGCGGAUUAGCUAGUUGGUGAGGUAAUGGAUCACCAAGGCGACGAUCAGUAGCCGACCAGAGAGGGUGAUCUGCCACACUGGAACUGAGACACGGUCCAGACUCCUACGGGAGGCAGCAGUGGGGAAGAUUGCACAAUGGGCGAAAGCCUGAUGCAGCAACGCCGCGUGAGGGAUGACGGCGUUCGGGUUGUAAACCUCUUUCAGCACCGACGAAGCGCGGGUGACGGUAGGUGCAGAAGAAGGACCGGCCAACUACGUGCCAGCCGCCGCAGUAA